UUGGCAUUCCCACCAGUGCAAAAGAGAUUCUCUUUCUCCGCAUCCCUGCCAACGUCUGUUGUUUCCUGGAUUAUUAAUUUUAGACAGGUGACUUUUAGGAGCAAGAAGUAGCCUUCUGGAUGCUUCAGUGCAAGCUCCCCAUUGAACAGAUGGACAGCCAGAGACCAAGAGGGGAAAUCUGGGAGGCAGUGGGAAGGCCCCAGCUUGCAUCUGAUGAAAAGGCCUUUAAGAUUAUUGAGGACGUGCCCCUUGCCAACUGGACCUCAUCUAACCCACAUCAAAACUCUCAUCAAGGGAUCCCCGCACCAGCGGCUCCUUCCAAGCACUGAUUAACAGCUGGGACGCACCUGGUGGGCAGAUGUCAGCUCCUCGUCACCCUGCUGGAUCCUGUGGGUGCGUGCAUACGAGUUUGCAUCUGCGCGUGUGUGUGUUCAGCUGCGUGUGCAUAUGCACAUGGUGUGUCUGAAAACCAACCUCAAAUGACAAAAUCGCC